rnacentral:rRNA from 1 species
GACGAACGCUGGCGGCGUGCUUAACACAUGCAAGUCGAACGAAGUGGCGAACGGGUGAGUAACGCGUAAUCAACCUGCCCUUCAGAGGGGGACAACAGUUGGAAACGACUGCUAAUACCGCAUACUAUCAGAUGAGCCUAGGUCGGAUUAGCUAGGUGGUGGGGUAAAGGCCUAACAAGGCGACGAUCCGUAACUGGUCUGAGAGGCUGAUCAGUCACACUGGAACUGAGACACGGCCCAGACUCCUACGGGAGGCAGCAGUGGGGAAUCUUCCGCAAUGGACGAAAGUCUGACGGAGCAACGCCGCGUGAGUGAUGACGGCCUUCGGGUGGUAAAGCUCUGUUAAUCGGGACGCGGUACCGUAAUAGAAAGCCACGGCUAACUACGUGCCAGCAGCCGCGGUAAUUC